UCCCAAGGCUAAAUACUCCCUAGUGACCGAUAGUGAACCAGUACCGUGAGGGAAAGGUGAAAAGCACCCCGGAAGGGGAGUGAAACAGUUCCUGAAACCGUGUGCCUACAAGUAGUUAGAGCCCGUUAAUGGGUGAUAGCGUGCCUUUUGUAGAAUGAACCGGCGAGUUACGAUUUGUUGCAAGGUUAAGCGGAAAAAGCGGAGCCGUAGCGAAAGCGAGUCUGAAUAGGGCGCAUAAGUAACAGGUCGUAGACCCGAAACCAGGUGAUCUACCCAUGUCCAGGAUGAAGGUAAGGUAAUACUUACUGGAGGUCCGAACCCACGCACGUUGAAAAGUGCGGGGAUGAGGUGUGGGUAGCGGAGAAAUUCCAAUCGAACUUGGAGAUAGCUGGUUCUCUCCGAAAUAGCUUUAGGGCUAGCCUCGAGGUAAAGAGUCAUGGAGGUAGAGCACUGUUUGGACUAGGGGCCCUUCUCGGGUUACCGAAUUCAGAUAAACUCCGAAUGCCAUGUACUUAUACUCGGGAGUCAGACUGCGAGUGAUAAGAUCCGUAGUCGAAAGGGAAACAGCCCAGACCACCAGUUAAGGUCCCCAAAUAUAUGUUAAGUGGAAAAGGAUGUGGGGUUGCUUAGACAACCAGGAUGUUGGCUUAGAAGCAGCCACCAUUGAAAGAGUGCGUAAUAGCUCACUGGUCGAGUGACCCCGCGCCGAAAAUGUACCGGGGCUAAACAUAUUACCGAAACUGUGGAUGAACCUCUUUAGAGGUUCGUGGUAGGAGAGCGUUCUAAGGGCGGUGAAGUCAGACCGGAAGGACUGGUGGAGCGCUUAGAAGUGAGAAUGCCGGUAUGAGUAGCGAAAGAAGGGUGAGAAUCCCUUCCACCGAAUAUCUAAGGUUUCCUGAGGAAGGCUCGUCCGCUCAGGGUUAGUCGGGACCUAAGCCGAGGCCGAUAGGCGUAGGCGAUGGACAACAGGUAGAGAUUCCUGUACCAGUGCUAAUUGUUUAACCGAUGGGGUGACACAGAAGGAUAGGGAAUCGCACGAAUGGAAAUGUGCGUCCAAGCAGUGAGUGUGAGAAGUAGGCAAAUCCGCUUCUCGCGAAGCAUGAGCUGUGAUGGGGAAGGAAAUUAAGUACGGAAGUUCCUGAUUUCACGCUGUCAAGAAAAGCCUCUAGGAAGAGUAGUACUGCCCGUACCGCAAACCGACACAGGUAGAUGAGGAGAGAAUCCUAAGGUGAGCGAGAGAACUCUCGUUAAGGAACUCGGCAAAAUGACCCCGUAACUUCGGGAGAAGGGGUGCUCUAUUAGGGUGCAAGCCCGAGAGAGCCGCAGUGAAUAGGCCCAGGCGACUGUUUAGCAAAAACACAGGUCUCUGCAAAACCGUAAGGUGACGUAUAGGGGCUGACGCCUGCCCGGUGCUGGAAGGUUAAGAGGAGUGCUUAGCUUCGGCGAAGGUACGAAUUGAAGCCCCAGUAAACGGCGGCCGUAACUAUAACGGUCCUAAGGUAGCGAAAUUCCUUGUCGGGUAAGUUCCGACCCGCACGAAAGGCGCAACGAUCUGGGCACUGUCUCAACGAGAGACUCGGUGAAAUUAUAGUACCUGUGAAGAUGCAGGUUACCCGCGACAGGACGGAAAGACCCCGUGGAGCUUUACUGCAACCUGAUAUGGAAUGUUUGUACCGCUUGUACAGGAUAGGUAGGAGCCGAAGAGACGUGUGCGCUAGCAUACGAGGAGGCAAUGGUGGGAUACUACCCUGGCUGUAUGACCAUUCUAACCCGCCACGCUUAGCGCGUGGGGAGACAGUGUCAGGUGGGCAGUUUGACUGGGGCGGUCGCCUCCUAAAGAGUAACGGAGGCGCCCAAAGGUUCCCUCAGAAUGGAUGGAAAUCAUUCGCAGAGUGUAAAGGCACAAGGGAGCUUGACUGCGAGACUGACAAGUCGAGCAGGGACGAAAGUCGGGCUUAGUGAUCCGGUGGUUCCGCAUGGAAGGGCCAUCGCUCAACGGAUAAAAGCUACCCCGGGGAUAACAGGCUUAUCUCCCCCAAGAGUCCACAUCGACGGGGAGGUUUGGCACCUCGAUGUCGGCUCGUCGCAUCCUGGGGCUGUAGUCGGUCCCAAGGGUUGGGCUGUUCGCCCAUUAAAGCGGCACGCGAGCUGGGUUCAGAACGUCGUGAGACAGUUCGGUCCCUAUCCGUCGCGGGCGCAGGAAAUUUGAGAGGAGCUGUCCUUAGUACGAGAGGACCGGGAUGGACACACCGCUGGUGUACCAGUUGUUCCGCCAGGAGCAUCGCUGGGUAGCUAUGUGUGGCAGGGAUAAACGCUGAAAGCAUCUAAGCGUGAAGCCCCCCUCAAGAUGAGAUUUCCCAUUUCUUCGGAAAGUAAGAUCCCUGAAAGAUGAUCAGGUAGAUAGGUUUGGAGUGGAAGUGUAGCGAUACAUGGAGCGGACAAAUACUAAUCGAUCGAGGACUUAACCAAAA
rnacentral:rRNA from 1 species